rnacentral:rRNA from 1 species
UACGUAGGGGGCAAGCGUUAUCCGGAUUUACUGGGUGUAAAGGGAGCGUAGACGGUGAGACAAGUCUGAAGUGAAAGCCCGGGGCUCAACCCCGGGACUGCUUUGGAAACUGCCUGACUGGAGUGCUGGAGAGGCAAGCGGAAUUCCUAGUGUAGCGGUGAAAUGCGUAGAUAUUAGGAAGAACACCAGUGGCGAAGGCGGCUUGCUGGACAGUAACUGACGUUGAGGCUCGAAAGCGUGGGGAGCAAACAGG